GUUCUAUAAUCUGCAAGCCACCUCUUAUAUACGAAAAUUCGCCAAAUUUUCAAUUCACCUACGUUAUUGAGGUAGCAACCUCAAACUAAAUGUUUUAAUGUUUAUAUAUGCUAGCUAGUCAAUGAUCAAGCAAUAUUAACACUGAUCAACAUCCAUUCACAUAACACUGGUUUGCUAUGCUAACGAUUAAAAGGAGUGAAUACUGGUAUAGAACUCUAUCAAUAUGACGUGACGUUUCCUGCUGUCGAUGACAGCUUCAGUCAGUCUCUGGCAUUUGUGCGUGUCCCAAGUCAGCUCCUGCCAAAGGUCGUCCUUUUAAGGGAAAUCUUGAGGGGCGCCCUUCAAAAUCACUGGAUCAACGAAAACCAUUUCAGCUUGAAGACCGGAGGGCCAUGCUUCAAGAUAUUAGUUGAUUUUAGUUUGAAAGAAAGUAUUGUGCUUCAUGUUUCACGAAGAUGAUGAUUAUUAUAGUUUAAAAAGGAGAGAACAUAGUACACAAUCGAAGAUGAUUUCGUUGUGGAGACUGCAUGGAGACCCUUAUGUCAAGACUGACUUCGUCGCACAAAACGACUAGGUGAUCAUCAGUUGCGAGGGUCUCCUUUGUGGAAAGAAAGGUCGCCCAUCUCAUCAGUGCGAGAAACUUCUAUCUGGUCAUUCUUGUACUGGAGUUAUGGAUGCUAACCCCGCCCAGUUGUGGAAGAGGUCUCUAAAGCCCACUGAAAAUUUUGGAGAUACGUACUCUAGUUGACAACCUUCCCUGGUGUAUAUAUAUAGAAGGUGGACUCAAGGAGUCUAUCAGUGUCUAGUAUAUGCGGCUGUCUGUCCCACGCAGCCAGUUCUGUAUGACCUCUGGACUGAGCUCGUCUGAAUUAUUUAAGCAUCCCAUACCACAUUUUACAAAUACCAGGAUGAAUUAUUACUGUUCAUAGUUUAAUCAUUUAUGUAAGGAGGAACUAUACAAAACCAGGAUGUAUAUACAUGACUUAAAAUAUUUAAUACUAUUCUUGACCCCAAACCUCUCAGCCCAGCCCAAACUGCUAGGGCACAACCACUGGGACUUAACACUACAAAUUUUGUAAAAAAAAAAUUUUGAAGCAUCCAGAAAAUUUUUUAAAAAACUGCCCUGGAUGACCAGCAUCUUAUUUAGAUUCUGAAG